GGCGAAGUGGUUUAGCCUGGUUAGAGCACCGCGCUCAUAACGCGGGGAUCGGGGGUUCAAAUCCCCCCUUCGCCA
rnacentral:tRNA from 1 species